GAACGCUGCCCGAGUCCCACUGUUUUCUCCCCUAAACUAUCUCUAAAAGGGCCUCUUGGGAACAACUCUGUGGCUUACUCCCUAGGCACUAUCUCGAGGCGUUAAAGAACCCGGUAUGCAUUUUUAAGUAAAACUCCGCGCUGAGCCCGUGAGCUUGUUGGCACCAAGGCAGCCUGGUGGAAGGUGUCCCUGCCCAUGGCAGGAGAUGGGACAAGAUGAUCUUUAAGGUCCUUCUAACCCAAACCGUUCCGUGAUUCUAAUAAAUUCCAACGUACAGGUUAUAGGGAGCUACUAUCAAGUUGCAACAUGAUGGAUCCAUUAUCAUGAAUAGACAGUGUCUCAGAUGAGGAGGACAGAAAAAGUUUGCGGCAGAGAAGGACAGAAGGAAAAGGAAUUCAAGAUUUUUCAAAACAGGUGCCAAGAAGCAGACUUUCUUUCCUUGCUGCAGACAGCAGAUCAAACUCUGGAAAAGAAGAAACUGGCCUUCUUUUAGCCUGUUUGAAUGCUGAGGCAUUGGCUGAGUUUGGCACCAGUUCCCCAUCCCUGCUAUAUCCCAACUAUCCCUCCAGUGCUGUCAUGGGAAAAGUGUUUCUGCAAAUGCUCAUUUCUGGCAGAACACACAGAUGCAAAGUUAGGGAGAGUUGUGAAAGAAAUCUAACCAACAAAUGGACCUCAAACAGGAGGAAACACUGGAAAAGGAAAUUAAAGAAGGACUGUUAAAGAACAGUUCCAAUGAUUUGGAUGUACCACAGGAACAUCCUUGUCCCAACCACUGUAUAUGGAAGAAACUACACCGUGAUCUCUGUGGUAGGCACUGUGCUUCCAUGUCAUUUUAAAGGAACAGAAUUUUCUGGAUCUUCCCCUUCUUAGUUAAUAGCCAGGCACACCCUCACCCAAACCAUAUGUUAAUAACUUCAGACCACAAAUUUAAUUUCUCUCAGCUUUCCACCUGACAUCACUCCCGGUCACGUGGCGCGGACCCAUCCGUAAACAAAACGGGGAUUCAUUUCCAUAGCAACAGCCAGGGGGACUUUGAUCAGCUCCAAUGAUUAUUUGUAGGCACACAGAUACCAAACCCCUAAGUGAGGGCUGAUUACCUUGUUUUUUGAAAUGCAGGCAGCUCAGUUGGUUUAUAUGGAUGAGGUAGAGGCACUCAAAGCUCCCUGUGAAAGGCAAAGGAAGCCACUGGUCAUUAGCCCGGUGUCCCUUCCAGUUCCUUGGGAAUCUGUACAUUCCUAAUGCCUCUAAUGUGAUGUGUGUGUCCUGUGACCAAUAAAGUGUGUUCUUCGUGCUCCCUGGCAGAUGUGCAGGUGUUUUUGGGGCUGGCUCUGUGUGGGAUGAGGAGAGGUGGGAGCCUGUGGCUUGACAGGAA